rnacentral:rRNA from 1 species
GUACCGUGAGGGAAAGAUGAAAAGAACUUUGAAAAGAGAGUUAAACAGUACGUGAAAUUGUUGAAAGGGAAACGAUUGAAGUCAGUCAUACCAACGGGAAAUCAACCUUUUGAGCUCGGUCUCGUGGGUUUUGAAGAGUUUCAAAGCCUUCGGAUUCGCGAGAUUGGGAUCUCUUGGCGUACUUUUUCGUACGGUUAGUCAACAUCGGUUUUGAAUGUCAUAAAAUGACUGGAGGAAUGUAGCUUCGAUCUCGUAUUGAAGUGUUAUAGCCUUUGGUAGAUGUGAUGUUUGAGACCGAGGAUUGCAACGGAUACCCUUCAGGGCUAUUCGUCUGAUCUCUGAUACGUUGCCUUGAUGUUGAAAGCUUGCUUAUGAUGUUAGGGUAUUACGGUCAAAAGGUUAGAACGAAUUACAUUCGUUAAGG